CGGGGGCCCGCACAAGCGGUGGAGCAUGUGGUUUAAUUCGAUGCAACGCGAAGAACCUUACCUGGUCUUGACAUCCACAGAACUUGGCAGAGAUGCCUUGGUGCCUUCGGGAACUGUGAGACAGGUGCUGCAUGGCUGUCGUCAGCUCGUGUUGUGAAAUGUUGGGUUAAGUCCCGCAACGAGCGCAACCCUUAUCCUUUGUUGCCAGCGGUUAGGCCGGGAACUCAAAGGAGACUGCCAGUGAUAAACUGGAGGAAGGUGGGGAUGACGUCAAGUCAUCAUGGCCCUUACGACCAGGGCUACACACGUGCUACAAUGGCGCAUACAAAGAGAAGCGAACUCGCGAGAGCAAGCGGACCUCAUAAAGUGCGUCGUAGUCCGGAUUGGAGUCUGCAACUCGACUCCAUGAAGUCGGAAUCGCUAUAAUCGUGAAUCAGA
rnacentral:rRNA from 1 species